GUGCUUUCAUUUUUCUAACCUUAGGAUGACACUGUUGGUUCCUGCAUGCAGUGAACAUACAGACAUGGGCUGAGGACAGGAAAUCCAGGAGGACUGUGAUCAUCAUACAAAGCUGAAAUGCUUUCCAAAACACAGUUCUGUCUGCCGAGCUGUUCUGUUAUCACAACACCUGCGACGCAGACAACUGGUUCUGCCUGUGGCUAUUUCACCCAGAAGGAGACGGAGGGCUGAGCUCGGAGGAGCAGCGACUUGGCCAAGACCUCCUGAUUCUGCAGAUUCCAUGGCCUUACACUUUCCGCUGACCUGACUUUAAGUAGAGACAAGAUCUGCAAGCUGCCUGGUGGACACGGGCCCAAGGCUGUGGCAGAAUCAUCAGAAAACAACUCUGGCUUCCUCAUCCCCUGAGUUGGGAGAUUGCAGAGAAUCCUCUCCCUUCUGUGGCUUCUCUGUCACUAAGCACAGACGUUCC
rnacentral:lncRNA from 1 species